GCGAAGCUAUGAACCGAAGCCCCAGUAAACGGCGGCCGUAACUAUAACGGUCCUAAGGUAGCGAAAUUCCUUGUCAGGUAAAUUCUGACCCGCACGAAUGGCGUAACGACUUGGGCGCUGUCUCAACGAGAGAUCCGGUGAAAUUUUAAUACCUGUGAAGAUGCAGGUUACCCGCGACAAGACGGAAAGACCCCAUGGAGCUUUACUGCAGCUUGAUAUUGAAUUUGGGUACGAUCUGUACAGGAUAGGUGGGAGCCGUUGAACCUUGAGCGCCAGCUUGAGGGGAGGCAUCCUUGGGAUACCACCCUGAUCGUAUCUAGGUUCUAACUUGGUACCGUGAUCCGGUACGAGGACAGUGUCAGGUGGGCAGUUUGACUGGGGCGGUCGCCUCCUAAAGAGUAACGGAGGCGCCCCAAGGUUCCCU
rnacentral:rRNA from 1 species